UACGUAGGGGCGAGCGUUGUCCGGAAUGAUUGGGCGUAAAGGGCGCGUAGGCGGCCAGGCAAGUCAGUAGUGGAAGUCCAAUUUUCAAGGUUGGAAGUGCUAUUGAAACUGAAGGGCUUGAGUGCAGGAGAGGUUAUCGGAAUUCCCGGUGUAGCGGUGAAAUGCGUAGAGAUCGGGAGGAACACCAGUGGCGAAGGCGGGUAACUGGACUGCAACUGACGCUGAGGCGCGAAAGUGUGGGGAGCAAACAGGAUUAGAUACCCUGGUAGUCCCU
rnacentral:rRNA from 1 species